GGUCACGAGCAUCAGCGACAAGCCCUGGCUGGCUGAUCGGCAACCCUCGCACGAGCGGUGGGGUGCCCCAGGUGACGACCCGGCAGGGGAGCAGCCCUGCAAGCGCCGACC
rnacentral:ncRNA from 2 species